GGGUUGUGAGGUUAAGCGACUAAGCGUACACGGUGGAUGCCCUGGCAGUCAGAGGCGAUGAAGGACGUGCUAAUCUGCGAAAAGCGUCGGUAAGGUGAUAUGAACCGUUAUAACCGGCGAUGUCCGAAUGGGGAAACCCAGUGUGAUUCGUCACACUAUCGUUAACUGAAUACAUAGGUUAACGAGGCGAACCGGGGGAACUGAAACAUCUAAGUACCCCGAGGAAAAGAAAUCAACCGAGAUUCCCCCAGUAGCGGCGAGCGAACGGGGAGCAGCCCAGAGUCUGAAUCAGCUUGUGUGUUAGUGGAACGGUCUGGAAAGUCCGACGGUACAGGGUGAUAGUCCCGUACACCAAAAUGCACAGGUUGUGAACUCGAAGAGUAGGGCGGGACACGUGGUAUCCUGUCUGAAUAUGGGGGGACCAUCCUCCAAGGCUAAAUACUCCUGACUGACCGAUAGUGAACCAGUACCGUGAGGGAAAGGCGAAAAGAACCCCGGCGAGGGGAGUGAAAAAGAACCUGAAACCGUGUACGUACAAGCAGUGGGAGCACCUUCGGGUGUGACUGCGUACCUUUUGUAUAAUGGGUCAGCGACUUAUAUUCUGUAGCAAGGUUAACCGUAUAGGGGAGCCGCAGGGAAACCGAGUCUUAACUGGGCGUUAAGUUGCAGGGUAUAGACCCGAAACCCGGUGAUCUAGCCAUGGGCAGGUUGAAGGUUGGGUAACACUAACUGGAGGACCGAACCGACUAAUGUUGAAAAAUUAGCGGAUGACUUGUGGCUGGGGGUGAAAGGCCAAUCAAACCGGGAGAUAGCUGGUUCUCCCCGAAAGCUAUUUAGGUAGCGCCUCGUGAACUCAUCUUCGGGGGUAGAGCACUGUUUCGGCUAGGGGGUCAUCCCGACUUACCAACCCGAUGCAAACUACGAAUACCGAAGAAUGUUAUCACGGGAGACACACGGCGGGUGCUAACGUCCGUCGUGAAGAGGGAAACAACCCAGACCGCCAGCUAAGGUCCCAAAGUCAUGGUUAAGUGGGAAACGAUGUGGGAAGGCACAGACAGCCAGGAUGUUGGCUUAGAAGCAGCCAUCAUUUAAAGAAAGCGUAAUAGCUCACUGGUCGAGUCGGCCUGCGCGGAAGAUGUAACGGGGCUAAACCAUGCACCGAAGCUGCGGCAGCGACACUAUGUGUUGUUGGGUAGGGGAGCGUUCUGUAAGCCUGCGAAGGUGACCUGUGAGGGUUGCUGGAGGUAUCAGAAGUGCGAAUGCUGACAUAAGUAACGAUAAAGCGGGUGAAAAGCCCGCUCGCCGGAAGACCAAGGGUUCCUGUCCAACGUUAAUCGGGGCAGGGUGAGUCGACCCCUAAGGCGAGGCCGAAAGGCGUAGUCGAUGGGAAACAGGUUAAUAUUCCUGUACUUGGUGUUACUGCGAAGGGGGGACGGAGAAGGCUAUGUUAGCCGGGCGACGGUUGUCCCGGUUUAAGCAUGUAGGCUGAUUGUCCAGGCAAAUCCGGAUAAUCAAGGCUGAGGUGUGAUGACGAGGCACUACGGUGCUGAAGUAACAAAUGCCCUGCUUCCAGGAAAAGCCUCUAAGCAUCAGGUAACAUUAAAUCGUACCCCAAACCGACACAGGUGGUCAGGUAGAGAAUACCAAGGCGCUUGAGAGAACUCGGGUGAAGGAACUAGGCAAAAUGGUGCCGUAACUUCGGGAGAAGGCACGCUGGUGUGUAGGUGAAGUCCCUGCGGAUGGAGCUGAGACCAGUCGAAGAUACCAGCUGGCUGCAACUGUUUAUUAAAAACACAGCACUGUGCAAACACGAAAGUGGACGUAUACGGUGUGACGCCUGCCCGGUGCCGGAAGGUUAAUUGAUGGGGUUAUCCGUAAGGAGAAGCUCUUGAUCGAAGCCCCGGUAAACGGCGGCCGUAACUAUAACGGUCCUAAGGUAGCGAAAUUCCUUGUCGGGUAAGUUCCGACCUGCACGAAUGGCGUAAUGAUGGCCAGGCUGUCUCCACCCGAGACUCAGUGAAAUUGAACUCGCUGUGAAGAUGCAGUGUACCCGCGGCAAGACGGAAAGACCCCGUGAACCUUUACUAUAGCUUGACACUGAACAUUGAGCCUUGAUGUGUAGGAUAGGUGGGAGGCUUUGAAGCGUGGACGCCAGUCUGCGUGGAGCCAACCUUGAAAUACCACCCUUUAAUGUUUGAUGUUCUAACGUUGGCCCCUUA
rnacentral:rRNA from 1 species